GAUGAACGCUGGCGGCGUGCCUAAUACAUGCAAGUCGAGCGAACGGACGAGAAGCUUGCUUCUCUGAUGUUAGCGGCGGACGGGUGAGUAACACGUGGAUAACCUACCUAUAAGACUGGGAUAACUUCGGGAAACCGUAGCUAAUACCGGAUAAUAUUUUGAACCGCAUGGUUCAAAAGUGAAAGACGGUCUUGCUGUCACUUAUAGAUGGAUCCGCGCUGCAUUAGCUAGUUGGUAAGGUAACGGCUUACCAAGGCAACGAUGCAUAGCCGACCUGAGAGGGUGAUCGGCCACACUGGAACUGAGACACGGUCCAGACUCCUACGGGAGGCAGCAGUAGGGAAUCUUCCGCAAUGGGCGAAAGCCUGACGGAGCAACGCCGCGUGAGUGAUGAAGGUCUUCGGAUCGUAAAACUCUGUUAUUAGGGAAGAACAUAUGUGUAAGUAACUGUGCACAUCUUGACGGUACCUAAUCAGAAAGCCACGGCUAACUACGUGCCAGCAGCCGCGGUAAUACGUAGGUGGCAAGCGUUAUCCGGAAUUAUUGGGCGUAAAGCGCGCGUAGGCGGUUUUUUAAGUCUGAUGUGAAAGCCCACGGCUCAACCGUGGAGGGUCAUUGGAAACUGGAAAACUUGAGUGCAGAAGAGGAAAGUGGAAUUCCAUGUGUAGCGGUGAAAUGCGCAGAGAUAUGGAGGAACACCAGUGGCGAAGGCGACUUUCUGGUCUGUAACUGACGCUGAUGUGCGAAAGCGUGGGGAUCAAACAGGAUUAGAUACCCUGGUAGUCCACGCCGUAAACGAUGAGUGCUAAGUGUUAGGGGGUUUCCGCCCCUUAGUGCUGCAGCUAACGCAUUAAGCACUCCGCCUGGGGAGUACGACCGCAAGGUUGAAACUCAAAGGAAUUGACGGGGACCCGCACAAGCGGUGGAGCAUGUGGUUUAAUUCGAAGCAACGCGAAGAACCUUACCAAAUCUUGACAUCCUUUGACAACUCUAGAGAUAGAGCCUUCCCCUUCGGGGGACAAAGUGACAGGUGGUGCAUGGUUGUCGUCAGCUCGUGUCGUGAGAUGUUGGGUUAAGUCCCGCAACGAGCGCAACCCUUAAGCUUAGUUGCCAUCAUUAAGUUGGGCACUCUAAGUUGACUGCCGGUGACAAACCGGAGGGAGGUGGGGAUGACGUCAAAUCAUCAUGCCCCUUAUGAUUUGGGCUACACACGUGCUACAAUGGACAAUACAAAGGGCAGCGAAACCGCGAGGUCAAGCAAAUCCCAUAAAGUUGUUCUCAGUUCGGAUUGUAGUCUGCAACUCGACUACAUGAAGCUGGAAUCGCUAGUAAUCGUAGAUCAGCAUGCUACGGUGAAUACGUUCCCGGGUCU
rnacentral:rRNA from 1 species